rnacentral:rRNA from 1 species
UACGUAGGGUGCAAGCGUUGUCCGGAAUUAUUGGGCGUAAAGAGCUUGUAGGCGGUUUGUCGCGUCUGCUGUGAAAUUUCGGGGCUCAACCCCGAACUUGCAGUGGGUACGGGCAGACUAGAGUGUGGUAGGGGAGACUGGAAUUCCUGGUGUAGCGGUGAAAUGCGCAGAUAUCAGGAAGAACACCGAUGGCGAAAGCAGCUCUCUGGGACGGUACUGACGCUGAGGCGCGAAAGCGUGGGGAGCGAACAGG